AGUGAACGCUGGCGGUAGGCCUAACACAUGCAAGUCGAACGGCAGCACAGUAAGAGCUUGCUCUUACGGGUGGCGCGUGGCGGACGGGUGAGGAAUACAUCGGAAUCUACUUUUUCGUGGGGGAUAACGUAGGGAAACUUACGCUAAUACCGCAUACGACCUACGGGUGAAAGCAGGGGAUCUUCGGACCUUGCGCGAUUGAAUGAGCCGAUGUCGGAUUAGCUAGUUGGCGGGGUAAAGGCCCACCAAGGCGGCGAUCCGUAGCUGGUCUGAGAGGAUGAUCAGCCACACUGGAACUGAGACACGGUCCAGACUCCUACGGGAGGCAGCAGUGGGGAAUAUUGGACAAUGGGCGCAAGCCUGAUCCAGCCAUACCGCGUGGGUGAAGAAGGCCUUCGGGUUGUAAAGCCCUUUUGUUGGGAAAGAAAAGCAGCAGGUUAAUACCCCGCUGUUCUGACGGUACCCAAAGAAUAAGCACCGGCUAACUUCGUG
rnacentral:rRNA from 1 species